GAUGAACGCUGGCGGCGUGCCUAAUACAUGCAAGUCGAGCGAACGGACGAGGAUCUUGCUUCUCUGAUGUUAGCGGCGGACGUGUGAGUAACACGUGUAUACCCUACCUAUAAUUCUGGUAUAACUUCGGGAAACCGUAUCUAAUACCGUAUAAUAUUUUGAACCGCAUGGUUCAAUAGUGAAAUACGGUCUUUCUGUCAGUUAUCGCUGGAUCCGCGCUGCAUGAGCUAGUUGUUAAGGUAACGGCUUACCAAGGCAACGAUGCAUAGCCGACCUGAGAGGGUGAUAGGCCACACGGGAACUGAGACACGGUCCAGACUCCUACGGGAGGCAGCAGUAGGGAAUCUGCCGCAAUGGGCGAAAGCCUGACGGAGCAACGCCGCGUGAGUGAUGAAGGUCUUCGGAUCGUAAAACUCUGUUAUUAGGGAAGAACAUAUGUGUAAGUAACUGUGCACAUCUUGACGGUACCUAACCAGAAAGCAACGGCUAACUACGUG
rnacentral:rRNA from 1 species